rnacentral:rRNA from 1 species
UUUUCUUCGGAACAGAGAGACAGGUGGUGCAUGGUUGUCGUCAGCUCGUGUCGUGAGAUGUUGGGUUAAGUCCCGCAACGAGCGCAACCCUUAUCUUCAGUAGCCAGCGGUUAGGCGGGGCCCUCUGGAAAGACCGGCCGGGAAAACCCGGAGGAAGGGGGGGAUAACUCAAAUCUUCUUGCCCCUUAUGACUGGGGCUACCCCCGUGCUACAAUGGCGUAAACAAAGGGAAGCAACCCUGGAAGGGGAACAAAACCCAAAAAUAUCUUCCCAUUUCGAAUUGUAUCCGGCACCUCCACUUCCUUAAGCUGGAAUCGCUAUAAUUCGGAAAUCAAAUGUCCGCGGUAAAUCCUUCCCCGGGUUGGACACCCCCGAAA